UUGACCUCGGAUCAGGUAGGGAUACCCGCUGAACUUAAGCAUAUCAAUAAGCGGAGGAAAAGAAACCAACAGGGAUUGCCUUAGUAACGGCGAGUGAAGCGGCAAUAGCUCAAAUUUGAAAGCUGGCGUCUUCGACGUCCGCGUUGUAAUUUGUAGAGGAUGCUUCGGCGAAGACUCCUGCCUAAGUCCCCUGGAACGGGGCGUCAUAGAGGGUGAGAAUCCCGUAUGUGGCGGGCAGUCUAAGCCAUGUGAAGCUCCUUCGACGAGUCGAGUUGUUUGGGAAUGCAGCUCUAAAUGGGAGGUAAAUUUCUUCUAAAGCUAAAUAUUGGCCAGAGACCGAUAGCGCACAAGUAGAGUGAUCGAAAGAUGAAAAGCACUUUGGAAAGAGAGUUAAAAAGUACGUGAAAUUGUUGAAAGGGAAGCGCUUGCAACCAGACUCGCUCGUAGUUGCUCAGCCGGCCUCUUGGCCGGUGUACUCUUCUACGAUCGGGCCAGCAUCAGUUCGGGCGGCAGGAUAAAGGUGUCGGGAAUGUAGCACCCUUCGGGGUGUGUUAUAGCCCGGCGCGGAAUGCUACCAGCCUGGACUGAGGAUCUCGCUUCGGCAAGGAUGCUGGCGUAAUGGUUGUAAGCGGCCCGUCU
rnacentral:rRNA from 1 species